AGGUCAGCAUACUGCCGUGAAUACGUUCCCGGGCCUUGUACACACCGCCCGUCACACCAUGAGAGUUGGAGAUACCCGAAGCCUGUGAGCUAACAAACGAGGCAGCAGUCGAAGGUAGAAUCAAUGAUUGGGGUGAAGUCGUAACAAGGUAUC
rnacentral:rRNA from 1 species